GACGAACGCUGGCGGCGUGCUUAACACAUGCAAGUCGAACGAAGAGCGAUGGAAGCUUGCUUCUAUCAAUCUUAGUGGCGAACGGGUGAGUAACGCGUAAUCAACCUGCCCUUCAGAGGGGGACAACAGUUGGAAACGACUGCUAAUACCGCAUACGAUCUAAUCUCGGCAUCGAGGAUAGAUGAAAGGUGGCCUCUACAUGUAAGCUAUCACUGAAGGAGGGGAUUGCGUCUGAUUAGCUAGUUGGAGGGGUAACGGCCCACCAAGGCGAUGAUCAGUAGCCGGUCUGAGAGGAUGAACGGCCACAUUGGGACUGAGACACGGCCCAGACUCCUACGGGAGGCAGCAGUGGGGAAUCUUCCGCAAUGGACGGAAGUCUGACGGAGCAACGCCGCGUGAGCGAUGACGGCCUUCGGGUUGUAAAGCUCUGUUAAUCGGGACGAAAGGCCUUCUUGCGAAUAGUGAGAAGGAUUGACGGUACCGGAAUAGAAAGCCACGGCUAACUACGUG
rnacentral:rRNA from 1 species